GGUCAACAAAACUCCUUAGCAUUUGGGAAUGAGUUUGUUUUCUAAAUAUUUAUCCAAGAGAAACAAAGAAGGCCUGUUAAUCGUCGGUUAAGGGAUAAGGAAGGCUUUUAAAACAAAACAAACGCAAAACUAACAGUUCUGUGAUGUUCAGCUUGCUAUCAUUGGCUUCCUUUUCCUCGAGAAAGUCAAUUGUGAUUUCUUUUACGAGGCUG
rnacentral:lncRNA from 1 species